rnacentral:rRNA from 1 species
UACGUAGGGGGCUAGCGUUGUCCGGAUUUAUUGGGCGUAAAGAGCGUGUAGGCGGCCAGGUAGGUCUGCUGUGAAAACUCGAGGCUCAACCUCGAGACGUCGGCGGAAACCAUCUGGCUAGAGUACGGAAGAGGCGAGUGGAAUUCCUGGUGUAGCGGUGAAAUGCGCAGAUAUCAGGAGGAACACCAAUUGCGAAGGCAGCUCGCUGGGACGUUACUGACGCUGAGACGCGAAAGCGUGGGGAGCAAACAGG